rnacentral:sRNA from 1 species
CUUUAACCCUGAUUGAGGCGGUAUCCUUUUUUGGACUCGUUUUUUGGGAACGAGACCAAAAAAGAUAUAGCCGAAAGCAGGAACGAUG